rnacentral:rRNA from 1 species
GACGUAGGGUCCAAGCGUUGUCCGGAUUUACUGGGCGUAAAGAGCUCGUAGGCGGUGUGUCGCGUCGGCCGUGAAAACCUGCAGCUUAACUGUGGGCUUGCGGUCGAUACGGGCAUCACUGGAGUUCGGCAGGGGAGACUGGAAUUCCUGGUGUAGCGGUGAAAUGCGCAGAUAUCAGGAGGAACACCGGUGGCGAAGGCGGGUCUCUGGAACGCAACUGACGCUGAGACGCGAAAGCGUGGGGAGCAAACAGG